ensembl:lncRNA
GGUGAUGCCUGUAACCUCUGGUGAUUGUCGCUGAGACACGGCUGUCUCCUCACAGGUAACAUCUGGUGAUGGCAGAUGAACAAUAUUAAACAAGGCAAUAGUCUUGUCUGGGACGUCUUGGGCGCCUGAGGAUGGUGCUGGUGUCACUGCGACUGCAGCAGGUGCCACGGUGUCGGUACGACGUUUCUUAAAAACACAUGAAAUCCUGCUAAUUAGAGACAGGUUGCCCUUGGACUUGGAGCUUUUAACUGGUGCAGCUCCUUCUUUUGAACCCUUGACCACCAGUGGAGAAGAGGUGAACUGCUCCUGAGGAACACUUACUGGGACAGCUGGUGACACUUUGGCUGGUGGUUUUGGUAAAGGAUGAAUGAUCCCUGUGGAAGAGACCUCAGGAACAUCUGACUGACUUCUUGUUGGGGUUCUAGGUCUGAACCUCUUCAGGUUCCCUUUAACAAAUGUUCCAAUCAUUUUGGUCAUGUGAUGAACCUUAGUAUCCAGUCUGUGGGCAAAUGUCUUAUGCCGUGGGGUCUCCUUGGGUUUGAGAAGAGGUGAACUGCUCCUGAGAAACACUUACUGGGACAGCUGGUGACACUUUGGCCGGUGGUUUCGGUAAGUGAUGAAUGAUCUCUGUGGAAGAGACCUCAGGAACAUCUGACUGACUUCUUGUUGGGGUUCUAGGUCUGCACCUUUUCAGGUUCCCUUUAACAAAUGUUCCAAUCAUUUUGGUCAUGUGAUGAACCUUAGUAUCCAGUCUGUGGGCAAAUGUCUUAUGCCGUGGGGUCUCCUUGGGUGUCUCUAUAGUAGACUUGAUACUGUCCACUACAUCUUCCACAACUAAGCUCUUUAGAGAAUCUGAGCUCUCACAGCUGACUUCCUCCGAAUGUAGGACUUCUGCAAAGGUUGGUGGAAUUGAAUCUCCUAGAGAAGUCACCACCUCAGUGACUAAAUCUUUUUCUUUCUCUUCCUUCAGUGCCGCCAGCACUGAUUUACAAAUGAGUACUUCUAUG